AUUGAACGCUGGCGGCAGGCUUAACACAUGCAAGUCGAGCGGAGAUGAGGUGCUUGCACCUUAUCUUAGCGGCGGACGGGUGAGUAAUGCUUAGGAAUCUGCCUAUUAGUGGGGGACAACAUUCCGAAAGGAAUGCUAAUACCGCAUACGUCCUACGGGAGAAAGCAGGGGAUCUUCGGACCUUGCGCUAAUAGAUGAGCCUAGUCGGAUUAGCUAGUUGGUGGGGUAAAGGCCUACCAAGGCGACGAUCUGUAGCGGGUCUGAGAGGAUGAUCCGCGACACUGGGACUGAGACACGGCCCAGACUCCGACGGGAGGCAGCAGUGGGGAAUAUUGGACAAUGGGGGGAACCCUGAUCCAGCCAUGCCGCGGGUGUGAAGAAGGCCUUAUGGUUGUAAAGCACUUUAAGCGAGGAGGAGGCUACUGAGACUAAUACUCUUGGAUAGUGGACGUUACUCGCAGAAUAAGCACCGGCUAACUCUGUGCCAGCCGCCGCCGUAAGAC
rnacentral:rRNA from 1 species